rnacentral:rRNA from 1 species
AUGCCGCGCCACCUGCUGCAGCAGCCCGUCGACCGCCUGGCCGCGAUGGCCGCCGCGCCGGCCGUGGUGGCCGGCGGUGCGACGAGCGUGUACACGGACACGCUGCUCAUCCUGGCGGCGGUGCUCUGUUUCGUGCUCUGCGUGGUCGGGCUGGGGAUGGUCGCGCGCUGCUCCCGCAUGUGCAACCCCUCCGCCUUCUCCGUCGACGCGCCGGGUGCAAUGGCCAAGUCGCCGUGCAAGGGGAUGAAGAAGAAGGCGCUGGAGUCGCUGCCCACCGUGUCGUGGCAGCCGGAGCCGAGGAAGGUGGACGAGGAGCGGCCGGAAUGCGCCAUCUGCCUGGCGGAGUUCACGCGCGGCGACGAGGUGCGCGUGCUCCCGCACUGCGGACAUGGCUUCCACGCCGCCUGCGUCGACGUGUGGCUCCUCUCCAGCUCCACCUGCCCGUCCUGCCGCCGCGCCCUCGUCGUCGCGGCCGCCCAAUCGCCGGCAGCCACCGAGUCUCCCCCUCCCCAGACGUGCCGUGAGCGUGCCGACGUAGUCGCGGCUGCGCAGGCCUCGGCCGCCGGCACAGUGGCCGACGAGUCCGGAGUCCGGACGAGGCGCUUCCACCUCUGA